AGUGAAAUUGCUGGGUCAUAUAGUAACUCUAUGUUUAACUUUUUAAGGAACUAUCAAACUGUUUGCCACAGUGGCUACACCAUUUUACAUUCCCACCAGUAAU
rnacentral:pre_miRNA from 1 species